GCAAGAUGAGAGUUUGAUCCUGGCUCAGGAUGAACGUUAGCGGCAGGCUUAACACAUGCAAGUCGAGGGGCAGCAUUAUCUGCUUGCAGAUAGAUGGCGACCGGCGCACGGGUGCGUAACGCGUAUGCAACCUACCCUAUACAGGAGGAUAGCCCGAAGAAAUUCGGAUUAAUACUCCAUAGAAUUGUCAAUUCGCAUGAUUUGACAAUUAAAGAUUUAUCGGUAUAGGAUGGGCAUGCGUUAGAUUAGUUAGUUGGAGAGGUAACGGCUCACCAAGACUACGAUCUAUAGGGGGCCUGAGAGGGUGAUCCCCCACACUGGUACUGAGACACGGACCAGACUCCUACGGGAGGCAGCAGUGAGGAAUAUUGGUCAAUGGAGGCAACUCUGAACCAGCCAUGCCGCGUGAAGGAAGAAGGCGUUCUGCGUUGUAAACUUCUUUUAUUUAGGAAGAAACUCUUGCUCGUGAAGCAAGACUGACGGUACUAAACGAAUAAGCACCGGCUAACUCCGUGCCAGCAGCCGCGGUAAUACGGAGGGUGCAAGCGUUAUCCGGAAUCAUUGGGUUUAAAGGGUCCGCAGGCGGUAUCAUAAGUCAGUGGUGAAAGCCUACAGCUUAACUGUAGAACUGCCAUUGAUACUGUGGUACUUGAGUUCGGUCGAAGUUGGCGGAAUAUGUAGUGUAGCGGUGAAAUGCAUAGAUAUUACAUAGAACACCUAUAGCGAAGGCAGCUAACUAGGCCUGGACUGACGCUGAGGGACGAAAGCGUGGGGAGCGAACAGGAUUAGAUACCCUGGUAGUCCACGCCGUAAACGAUGGACACUCGCUAUCGGCGAUACACUGUC
rnacentral:rRNA from 1 species